GACGAACGCUGGCGGCGCGCCUAACACAUGCAAGUCGAACGAGCGAGAGAGAGCUUGCUUUCUCGAGCGAGUGGCGAACGGGUGAGUAACGCGUGAGGAACCUGCCUCAAAGAGGGGGACAACAGUUGGAAACGACUGCUAAUACCGCAUAAGCCCACGGCUCGGCAUCGAGCAGAGGGAAAAGGAGCAAUCCGCUUUGAGAUGGCCUCGCGUCCGAUUAGCUAGUUGGUGAGGUAAUGGCCCACCAAGGCGACGAUCGGUAGCCGGACUGAGAGGUUGAACGGCCACAUUGGGACUGAGACACGGCCCAGACUCCUACGGGAGGCAGCAGUGGGGAAUAUUGCACAAUGGGGGAAACCCUGAUGCAGCGACGCCGCGUGGAGGAAGAAGGUCUUCGGAUUGUAAACUCCUGUUGUUGAGGAAGAUAAUGACGGUACUCAACAAGAAAGUGACGGCUAACUACGUGCCAGCAGCCGCGGUAAAACGUAGGUCACAAGCGUUGUCCGGAAUUACUGGGUGUAAAGGGAGCGCAGGCGGGAAGACAAGUUGGAAGUGAAAUCCAUGGGCUCAACCCAUGAACUGCUUUCAAAACUGUUUUUCUUGAGUAGUGCAGAGGUAGGCGGAAUUCCCGGUGUAGCGGUGGAAUGCGUAGAUAUCGGGAGGAACACCAGUGGCGAAGGCGGCCUACUGGGCACCAACUGACGCUGAGGCUCGAAAGUGUGGGUAGCAAACAGGAUUAGAUACCCUGGUAGUCCACACUGUAAACGAUGAUUACUAGGUGUUGGAGGAUUGACCCCUUCAGUGCCGCAGUUAACACAAUAAGUAAUCCACCUGGGGAGUACGACCGCAAGGUUGAAACUCAAAGGAAUUGACGGGGGCCCGCACAAGCAGUGGAGUAUGUGGUUUAAUUCGACGCAACGCGAAGAACCUUACCAAGUCUUGACAUCCCUUGACGAUGCUGGAAACAGUAUUUCUCUUCGGAGCAAGGAGACAGGUGGUGCAUGGUUGUCGUCAGCUCGUGUCGUGAGAUGUUGGGUUAAGUCCCGCAACGAGCGCAACCCUUAUGGUCAGUUACUACGCAAGAGGACUCUGGCCAGACUGCCGUUGACAAAACGGAGGAAGGUGGGGAUGACGUCAAAUCAUCAUGCCCUUUAUGACUUGGGCUACACACGUACUACAAUGGCGUUAAACAAAGAGAAGCAAGACCGCGAGGUGGAGCAAAACUCAGAAACAACGUCCCAGUUCGGACUGCAGGCUGCAACUCGCCUGCACGAAGUCGGAAUUGCUAGUAAUCGCAGAUCAGCAUGCUGCGGUGAAUACGUUCCCGGGCCU
rnacentral:rRNA from 1 species